rnacentral:ribozyme from 1 species
GCGGCCGCGCCGACGCGGCGACGACGCUGAAGCGCGCAUGGGUCGACCCAGACGAAAUCAACGCCCUCGUGGGAGUCUCCUCGCGCGACUGGCACGUG